UGUAUAGGUGGGCUGUAAUGUUGAGCCAUGGCGGUUUUGCAUGUCUCAACUGGGGGGAUGGUAAGACAGAUACAAAAGUGAAUAAAUAAAUAGAAACAGGCUCUAACUGUAAGAGGCAUUGCUCAGAUAACAACAAACUGCAGUAUGCAACCGAUUCUAGAUAGUUUCACAAUCAGUCUUUUUAAACUGACCAAAACUUUAGGAUAGAUAAAAUAUUAUUAAAUCUACAGGAAUUAUGGAUGAUUAAGACAGAAUAAAAUAGAAGUAACUCACUUGUUGACUAGAAAUUGAUUGAAUAUAGAAAAAGUUUGCUACACUGUACAAAAUUGUUGUUGAAGGAUAAUAUUAAGUUAGAAAUAACUUAUUGGCUAAUGAAAAAGGAUCAUAUGGAACUAUUGUAGAGAAUCAAUAUUAAACUGUAAUAAGAGAUGAUUAAAUAGUGCCUACAGAAAGACGAGAGGGCUGCAAAUAAAAUAAGAAAAUUAAGAAACAUACAUAAAUUGAACAACACUGGAAAAAGCGAUGAGUAUGUUUAUUUAGACAUGAGAAUAAUGAAGCCCACGCAGGAGUUGCAACCCCAUUCACAGAAGUUCAGCAAGGGAGAACAAGCAACAGCUGUGCUGUAACUUCUACCCCCACUAGAUUCAACUAAUUAACAUGUGAAACCUCUUUGCAUACCACUAAUUUUAAGUGCGAAGUAACCUCUGCUCACAGCAGCUCAGCAGACAAGAACAAGCAACUGUAAGGCAAAUCAUUGUCUCUCCCAUCAUUUAAAUUUAUUUUCAUUAAUCUGAC